GCGGGUGUGGCGGAACUGGCAGACGCGCAUGGUUGAGGGCCAUGUGGGAGAUAAUCCCGUGGAAGUUCGAAUCUUCUCACCCGCA
rnacentral:tRNA from 2 species